CAGCUCUCCGCCCACACUUCUGUUCCAGUGUGUUUCCUGGAGUGGGAAGAAAAGCGACAAAGCGACUUUACCACCCACUGUCCUGUUGCGCCCUGGCUCUUCCGUGGGAGAAGUCGUCUGUCAUAUGUGUCCUGGUGGGAAAGUCCAGUGGUCUAGGUCCUCGGCACCCUGCGCAUCGAUGGCCAUCCCUGCUUCCUUUCCCACUUCCUGGCUCUACUGUUCCCUCGCUCCAGCCUUAAAACUCCCAAGUUUCCUUCCACACGGGAACUACCUUACUCAGACACCUACUGUGUGGGAAACCAAACCCGUGCAAACCUGUUUAACAGGGUACUCAGGCCUAUCUGUUUUUCCCAAUGUGUUAAGUGCCCCGAUGCGUCUGUUCCUGACUGUCUUGGUGAAUGACAGUCCUGUCUGUUGAUUUUGAAGGGGAUUGAAUGUGGUUGACCCUGUUGUGUGCCAGAAGGUCCAGUUUCCUCAGGGUCACUGACAAGGCCAGAGGCCUGGUUCUCCUGCCUCAGUACUUGAGACACACUGAGGCCUUUUCAGAAAUAGCCUGUGCCGGCCUCGUGGUCUGCAGAGCUUCGCUGCCCUACAGGUGGGCAGCUUGGCAACCAGUGAUCCCCAGUGAUUUGAUCUUUCC
rnacentral:lncRNA from 1 species